GACGAACGCUGGCGGCGUGCUUUACACAUGCAAGUCGAACGGAAAGGCCCUGCUUUUGUGGGGUGCUCGAGUGGCGAACGGGUGAGUAACACGUGAGUAACCUGCCCUUGACUUUGGGAUAACUUCAGGAAACUGGGGCUAAUACCGGAUAGGAGCUCCUGCUGCAUGGUGGGGGUUGGAAAGUUUCGGCGGUUGGGGAUGGACUCGCGGCUUAUCAGCUUGUUGGUGGGGUAGUGGCUUACCAAGGCUUUGACGGGUAGCCGGCCUGAGAGGGUGACCGGCCACAUUGGGACUGAGAUACGGCCCAGACUCCUACGGGAGGCAGCAGUGGGGUAUAUUGCACAAUGGGCGGAAGCCUGAUGCAGCAACGCCGCGUGCGGGAUGACGGCCUUCGGGUUGUAAACCGCUUUCGCCUGUGACGAAGCGUGAGUGACGGUAAUGGGUAAAGAAGCACCGGCUAACUACGUG
rnacentral:rRNA from 1 species